AACGAACGCUGGCGGCAUGCCUAACACAUGCAAGUCGAACGAGACCUUCGGGUCUAGUGGCGCACGGGUGCGUAACGCGUGGGAACCUGCCCUUAGGUUCGGAAUAACUCCCCGAAAGGGGUGCUAAUACCGGAUAAUGUCUUCGGACCAAAGAUUUAUGGCCUUUGGAUGGGCCCGCGUUGGAUUAGCCAGUUGGUAGGGUAAAAGCCUACCAAGGCGACGAUCCAUAGCUGGUCUGAGAGGAUGCUCAGCCACACUGGGACUGAGACACGGCCCAGACUCCUGCGGGAGGCAGCAGUGGGGAAUAUUGGGCAGUGGGCGAAAGCCUGAUCCAGCAAUGCCGCGUGAGUGAUGAAGGACUUAGGGUUGUAAAGCUCUUUUACCCGGGAUGAUAAUGACAGUACCGGGAGAAUAAGCUCCGGCUAACUCCGU
rnacentral:rRNA from 1 species